rnacentral:misc_RNA from 1 species
UCACUCUUAAACCUCUAGGUUUAGUUAUGGAGGAAGUGGGAAUAUUCUUUCCACUCCUCUGAAAUGACUCGGCAGGUCCUUUAGUGGCUAUUUAUAGCUUUGGAGAAUUUAUUACUAGGUUUUACCAUUUUAAUAAAUACCUCUAAGCUAGGUUACUUUGGGUUAUCGGCCUAAUCAACUUUUAUCAUAAA